rnacentral:rRNA from 1 species
UACGAAGGGGGCUAGCGUUGCUCGGAAUCACUGGGCGUAAAGCGCACGUAGGCGGCUUUUUAAGUCAGGGGUGAAAUCCUGGAGCUCAACUCCAGAACUGCCUUUGAUACUGAGAAGCUUGAGUCCGGGAGAGGUGAGUGGAACUGCGAGUGUAGAGGUGAAAUUCGUAGAUAUCGAGAGGAACACCGGUGGCGAAGGCGGCCAACUGGACGAGUACUGACGCUGAGACACGAAAGCGUGGGGAGCAAACAGG